UUUUGGUCGACAGUUACUACAAACGAGGUGUCCACUUUGACACUGCAAGAUGGGUGGUAGCACAUAGUCAAAACAAACAGGGCAUUCAAAUAGGCUUGCUAAAUCAGUCGAACUGCUUAACGCCGAUACAGAUGAAGCUGAGGUUAAGUACCAAGGCAAACAGUUUGAUAACACAAAUACAAUAGUUUUUCAAUACCAAUGGCGUCUUUCAGACUUGGUGCAAUCUCCUGGCACUUAUCCACUCCAUAUCUGGAACUUAAUUAGUUAUUAUUUAAUACAAAUUAAAGAAAUUUCUUAAUGUACAUAUAUGUGUAUGAUAAUAUAUAUAUAUAUAUAUAUAUAUAUAUAUAUAUAUAUAUAUA